rnacentral:rRNA from 1 species
AUUGAACGCUGGCGGCAGGUCUAACACAUGCAAGUCGAGCGGUAGAGAGAAGCUUGCUUCUCUUGAGAGCGGCGGACGGGUGAGUAAUGCCUAGGAAUCUGCCUGGUAGUGGGGGAUAACGUUCGGAAACGGACGCUAAUACCGCAUACGUCCUACGGGAGAAAGCAGGGGACCUUCGGGCCUUGCGCUAUCAGAUGAGCCUAGGUCGGAUUAGCUAGUUGGUGGGGUAAUGGCUCACCAAGGCGACGAUCCGUAACUGGUCUGAGAGGAUGAUCAGUCACACUGGAACUGAGACACGGUCCAGACUCCUACGGGAGGCAGCAGUGGGGAAUAUUGGACAAUGGGCGAAAGCCUGAUCCAGCCAUGCCGCGUGUGUGAAGAAGGUCUUCGGAUUGUAAAGCACUUUAAGUUGGGAGGAAGGGCAGUAAAUUAAUACUUUGCUGUCUUGACGUUACCGACAGAAUAAGCACCGGCUAACUCUGUGCCAGCAGCCGCCGUAA